GAUGAACGCUGGCGGCGUGCUUAACACAUGCAAGUCGAACGAUGAAGCCAGCUUGCUGGUGGAUUAGUGGCGAACGGGUGAGUAACACGUGAGUAACCUGCCCUUAACUCUGGGAUAAGCCUGGGAAACUGGGUCUAAUACCGGAUAUGACUUCCCAUCGCAUGGUGGGGGGUGGAAAGCUUUUGUGGUUUUGGAUGGACUCGCGGCCUAUCAGCUUGUUGGUGAGGUAAUGGCUCACCAGGGCGACGACGGGUAGCCGGCCUGAGAGGGUGACCGGCCACACGGGGACUGAGACACGGCCCAGACUCCUACGGGAGGCAGCAGUGGGGAAUAUUGCACAAUGGGCGGAAGCCUGAUGCAGCGACGCCGCGUGAGGGAUGACGGCCUUCGGGUUGUAAACCUCUUUCAGUAGGGAAGAAGCGUAAGUGACGGUAUCUGCAGAAGAAGCGCCGGCUAACUACGUGCCAGCAGCCGCGGUAA
rnacentral:rRNA from 1 species